ensembl:Y_RNA Y_RNA Y RNA
GGCUGGUCUGACUGCAGUGGUGUUUACAAUUAACUGAUAACAUCCAGUUACAGAUUUCUUUGUUCCUUAUCCACUUCUGCUUCAUUGACUAGCCUUAA